rnacentral:lncRNA from 1 species
UUUUAGUCGAGGGGUCAUAUCAACCUCAACAAACAAACCACUGGAACUGGGUAGUGUUAGCUCUUAACCUUGCCAUUGAGGGGCUAAGGUGAAGCUGAUGAAAGGUGAGUGAAGAUGAGACUUCACAGCUCUUAUCCCUGGCCUGGGAGAACUUAAGACAAGAAUGUGUGGGUUUAGAAAGGAGGAACCCUUCUACACAUUUGAAACUGACUCAACUGUACAAUUGUACAAGAUCUUGGGUUUGUAUCU